rnacentral:rRNA from 1 species
AGGACGAACGCUGGCGGCGUGCUUAACACAUGCAAGUCGAGCGAGAUUCAACCGGUGGCAACACCGGGGAAGAUCGAGCGGCGAACGGGUGAGUAACACGUGAGCAACCUGCCCCGAAGACUGGGAUAACACCGGGAAACCGGUGCUAAUACCGGAUACCCCCACCAGGCCGCAUGACCAGGUGAGGAAAGGAAUUUCGCUUCGGGAGGGGCUCGCGGGCUAUCAGCUUGUUGGUGGGGUAACGGCCUACCAAGGCGACGACGGCUAGCUGGUCUGAGAGGACGACCAGCCACACUGGGACUGAGACACGGCCCAGACUCCUACGGGAGGCAGCAGUGGGGAAUCUUGCGCAAUGGGCGAAAGCCUGACGCAGCAACGCCGCGUGGGGGAUGAAGGCCUUCGGGUCGUAAACCCCUUUCAGCAGGGACGAACUGACGGUACCUGCAGAAGAAGCCCGGCCAACUACGUGCCAGCAGCCGC